GACGACCGGCGCACGGGUGCGUAACGCGUAUACAAUCUACCUCUUACUGAGGGAUAGCCCAGAGAAAUUUGGAUUAAGCCCUCAUGGUAUAUAGAUAUGGCAUCAUAUUUAUAUUAAAGGUUACGGUAAGAGAUGAGUAUGCGUUCUAUUAGCUAGAUGGUAAGGUAACGGCUUACCAUGGCAACGAUAGAUAGGGGCCCUGAGAGGGGGAUCCCCCACACUGGUACUGAGACACGGACCAGACUCCUACGGGAGGCAGCAGUGAGGAAUAUUGGACAAUGGGCGAGAGCCUGAUCCAGCCAUGCCGCGUGCAGGAAGACGGCCCUAUGGGUUGUAAACUGCUUUUAUACAGGAAGAAACACUCCCUCGUGAGGGAGCUUGACGGUACUGUAAGAAUAAGGACCGGCUAACUCCGUGCCAGCAGCCGCGGUAAUACGGAGGGUCCGAGCGUUAUCCGGAAUCAUUGGGUUUAAAGGGUCCGUAGGUGGAUAAUUAAGUCAGAGGUGAAAUCCUGCAGCUCAACUGUAGAAUUGCCUUUGAAACUGGUUAUCUUGAGUUAUUAUGAAGUAGUUAGAAUAUGUAGUGUAGCGGUGAAAUGCAUAGAUAUUACAUAGAAUACCAAUUGCGAAGGCAGAUUACUAAUAAUAUACUGACACUGAUGGACGAAAGCGUGGGGAGCGAACAGGAUUAGAUACCCUGGUAGUCCACGCCGUAAACGAUGGUCACUAGCUGUUCGGAACUUGUUUCUGAGUGGCUAAGCGAAAGUGAUAAGUGACCCACCUGGGGAGUACGUUCGCAAGAAUGAAACUCAAAGGAAUUGACGGGGGCCCGCACAAGCGGUGGAGCAUGUGGUUUAAUUCGAUGAUACGCGAGGAACCUUACCAGGGCUUAAAUGUAAGUUGCAUAGAGUAGAGAUAUUCUUUUCUUCGGACUACUUACAAGGUGCUGCAUGGUUGUCGUCAGCUCGUGCCGUGAGGUGUCAGGUUAAGUCCUAUAACGAGCGCAACCCCUGUUGUUAGUUGCCAGCGAGUCAUGUCGGGAACUCUAACAAGACUGCC
rnacentral:rRNA from 1 species